rnacentral:rRNA from 1 species
ACUGCGUACCUUUUGUAUAAUGGGUCAGCGACUUAUAUUCUGUAGCAAGGUUAACCGAAUAGGGGAGCCGAAGGGAAACCGAGUCUUAACUGGGCGUUAAGUUGCAGGGUAUAGACCCGAAACCCGGUGAUCUAGCCAUGGGCAGGUUGAAGGUUGGGUAACACUAACUGGAGGACCGAACCGACUAAUGUUGAAAAAUUAGCGGAUGACUUGUGGCUGGGGGUGAAAGGCCAAUCAAACCGGGAGAUAGCUGGUUCUCCCCGAAAGCUAUUUAGGUAGCGCCUCGUGAAUUCAUCUCCGGGGGUAGAGCACUGUUUCGGCAAGGGGGUCAUCCCGACUUACCAACCCGAUGCAAACUGCGAAUACCGGAGAAUGUUAUCACGGGAGACACACGGCGGGUGCUAACGUCCGUCGUGAAGAGGGAAACAACCCAGACCGCCAGCUAAGGUCCCAAAGUCAUGGUUAAGUGGGAAACGAUGUGGGAAGGCCCAGACAGCCAGGAUGUUGGCUUAGAAGCAGCCAUCAUUUAAAGAAAGCGUAAUAGCUCACUGGUCGAGUCGGCCUGCGCGGAAGAUGUAACGGGGCUAAACCAUGCACCGAAGCUGCGGCAGCGACACUGUGUGUUGUUGGGUAGGGGAGCGUUCUGUAAGCCUGUGAAGGUGUGCUGUGAGGCAUGCUGGAGGUAUCAGAAGUGCGAAUGCUGACAUAAGUAACGAUAAAGCGGGUGAAAAGCCCGCUCGCCGGAAGACCAAGGGUUCCUGUCCAACGUUAAUCGGGGCAGGGUGAGUCGACCCCUAAGGCGAGGCCGAAAGGCGUAGUCGAUGGGAAACAGGUUAAUAUUCCUGUACUUGGUGUUACUGCGAAGGGGGGACGGAGAAGGCUAUGUUGGCCGGGCGACGGUUGUCCCGGUUUAAGCGUGUAGGCUGGUUUUCCAGGCAAAUCCGGAAAAUCAAGGCUGAGGCGUGAUGACGAGGCACUACGGUGCUGAAGCAACAAAUGCCCUGCUUCCAGGAAAAGCCUCUAAGCAUCAGGUAACAUCAAAUCGUACCCCAAACCGACACAGGUGGUCAGGUAGAGAAUACCAAGGCGCUUGAGAGAACUCGGGUGAAGGAACUAGGCAAAAUGGUGCCGUAACUUCGGGAGAAGGCACGCUGAUAUGUAGGUGAAGUCCCUCGCGGAUGGAGCUGAAAUCAGUCGAAGAUACCAGCUGGCUGCAACUGUUUAUUAAAAACACAGCACUGUGCAAACACGAAAGUGGACGUAUACGGUGUGACGCCUGCCCGGUGCCGGAAGGUUAAUUGAUGGGGUCAGCGCAAGCGAAGCUCUUGAUCGAAGCCCCGGUAAACGGCGGCCGUAACUAUAACGGUCCUAAGGUAGCGAAAUUCCUUGUCGGGUAAGUUCCGACCUGCACGAAUGGCGUAAUGAUGGCCAGGCUGUCUCCACCCGAGACUCAGUGAAAUUGAACUCGCUGUGAAGAUGCAGUGUACCCGCGGCAAGACGGAAAGACCCCGUGAACCUUUACUAUAGCUUGACACUGAACAUUGAGCCUUGAUGUGUAGGAUAGGUGGGAGGCUUUGAAGUGUGGACGCCAGUCUGCAUGGAGCCGACCUUGAAAUACCACCCUUUAAUGUUUGAUGUUCUAACGUGGACCCGUGAUCCGGGUUGCGGACAGUGUCUGGUGGGUAGUUUGACUGGGGCGGUCUCCUCCUAAAGAGUAACGGAGGAGCACGAAGGUUGGCUAAUCCUGGUCGGACAUCAGGAGGUUAGUGCAAUGGCAUAAGCCAGCUUGACUGCGAGCGUGACGGCGCGAGCAGGUGCGAAAGCAGGUCAUAGUGAUCCGGUGGUUCUGAAUGGAAGGGCCAUCGCUCAACGGAUAAAAGGUACUCCGGGGAUAACAGGCUGAUACCGCCCAAGAGUUCAUAUCGACGGCGGUGUUUGGCACCUCGAUGUCGGCUCAUCACAUCCUGGGGCUGAAGUAGGUCCCAAGGGUAUGGCUGUUCGCCAUUUAAAGUGGUACGCGAGCUGGGUUUAGAACGUCGUGAGACAGUUCGGUCCCUAUCUGCCGUGGGCGCUGGAGAACUGAGGGGGGCUGCUCCUAGUACGAGAGGACCGGAGUGGACGCAUCACUGGUGUUCGGGUUGUCAUGCCAAUGGCACUGCCCGGUAGCUAAAUGCGGAAGAGAUAAGUGCUGAAAGCAUCUAAGCACGAAACUUGCCCCGAGAUGAGUUCUCCCUGACCCUUUAAGGGUCCUGAAGGAACGUUGAAGACGACGACGUUGAUAGGCCGGGUGUGUAAGCGCAGCGAUGCGUUGAGCUAACCGGUACUAAUGAACCGUGAGGCUUAACCUUACAACGCCGAAGGUGUUU